GGGUUAUGGUCUGAGUGCAGGUAGAUGGGACUAGGGGAGAAUACGUGUUCGGCACGGACUAGAAGGGCCGAGAUGGCCUGUUUCCAUGCUGUAAUUGUUAUAUGGUUGUACAAACGUUAAAUCCUUUUAAACUGACAUGGGUAAUGGUAAUGCUUUGGUUGAAUUUAUCUAAAUGUUUAAAAGGUGUUCAAUAAGAAGCACCAAUAAGCUAACAAUGUCAGAAUGGGUGGUUAAUUCCAAUGGAAGCAAGUGAAUUAUGAAGUUCUGCAAGGGGCUACUGUUUGAAUUUUACAUUUAUGAUUUAGGCAAUGGAAAUAAAUACAAUUAUGUAAUGAAGGUCUUAGCAUAUUGUGGGGGAAAGGGAAAGAUGGUGGUGGGAGGUUUUGGAGGUAGGGGGUGGUAGCAAGCAGACAAUGUGGUUCCUAAAGAGACUGCCAACAAAUUACAGGAUGAUAUUAAUCAGCUUGCAGGAUGGGCAAAUAACAAGAAAAUUAAGUUCUGUAUAAAUAUGAACAAGUAUAUUUUGAUAGAAUAAAAUGGGCAUUUGUCAUUUGGAAGAUGUGAGUGUGGAUUAGAGGCAAGAAUUUGGAUGAUCCAUUUCAAUUACUAUAACAAUAGAUAAUAGGUGCAGGAGUAGGCCAUUCGGCCCUUCGAGCCAGCACCACCAUUCAAUGUGAUCAUGGCUGAUCAUCCCCAAUCAGUACCCCGUUCCUGCCUUCUCCCCAUAUCCCCUAACUACACUAUAACUACCCAAAGAAUUGUGAGAAUAUGGAAUCCAUUACCACAAGAAAUGGAUAGAGCAGUACGGAUGUACUUUGAGACGUUGAGCAAGUUGCAGUAGGAGGGAAUAGAUGACGUCCUAGAUACAGCACAAGACCAGGCCCAUUGCCUGUCAUUUCAGCCAUCAACUGCCCUUUUGCACUAAUCCUACGUUGAUUAUUUUGUUUUUAAGUCCCUCAGAAUUGUCAUCAACAAUCCCCACCCCCCAGGAUUCUACCAUUCCUUUACAUGCAGUAGAGGCAGCUUUUAUUUUGUGGCCUAUUAACCUACCAAACUGCAUGUAUGGGAUGUUGUAGGAAAUGAAGCACCCAGAGGAAGCCAAAACAGUCAUAGUGAGAACAUGUUGACUACAGAUAGAAAGCAACUGAGGUUGGGAUUGAAACAGAGUCUCUGGCGCUGUGAUGCAGUGGCUGUACUGGCAGUGCUAUUUUACCACCCAAUUAGUCAAUUGUGAAAAUAAGAAAUAACUUGUGGAAGAUAAAUUUCAGCAUGUUGCUCGUCAAUGGCCAGUUAACCUUUGCUGUCCCAGUUCUCCCAGCGAUCUUACUUUCAGACUAUAUUCUAUCUGUCCCGCCCACUCCCCUGACAUCAGUUUGAAGAAGGGUCUCAAACCGAAACGUCACCAUUCCUUCUCUCCAGAGAUGCUGCCUGUCCCACUAAGUUACUCGAGCAUUUUGUGUCUGCCAACACAUUAGCAGUGCAGACAUCUAAUUUAGAAGACACAAGGAACUGGAUGCUGGUUUACAAAUAAAUACCGGUGCUGGAAUGACACACAGUAGGCCAGGCAAUAUUUUUGUCGCCAUGGACAGCAACAGCGAGAUUUCAGGCCAGAACCCUUCAUACCCAAUAGUUUGAAGAAGGGCUCGACCCGAAACAUCUCCUGUCCUUGUCUUCCACAGAUGCCCCUACCUGCUGAAUGACCUCAUCACUUUGGGUUUUUCUUAAGGGGCUGUGGUUUGUCUAAGAAUGUGGAGCACUAUAGGAUAGAUUAUAAGAAUUAGCCAUGUCAUUUGUUUAAUUAAAAGACGAGUUUACUAUGUAGAAGUAAAUUAGAAACAAUUUUUACUAAACAAGCAGUUUUUUCCCCCAAGCAGUUCCCCAAGCAAGCUAAACAACAGUUUACCCCUUGGUCGAAAAGACCAGGAUACACCAAGAAACGCAAUAAUCAAAUUGCUGACUUUGAGAAGAAGGGUCUCGGCCCGAAAAGUCGCCUACCUUCUCUCUAUAGAUGCUGCCUCACCCGCUGAGUUUCUCCAGCAUUUUGUGUCUACCUUUUGAGUAUUUGAAGCUGGCUUUUCUGGUUCGGUACUGUAGGAUCCUUUUGUAGGUUGAUAUGGCCACUUUCAGAUGGUGUGAUAUCAAGAUUCAAGGCAUAAUUUGCCAGCCCAUUUUAAUCAGCUGGAUUAUAAGUCCAGGAUCUCAAGGAAAUUGACAUUAUUUAUAUUUAUUGAUAAUUUUCAAUUUGAUAAUUGUCGCAGGUAGUGAUUAACAUGUUAACAAUAGGUAAGCAGAGCAUCCCUCGUAUUUAUCAUUUAUUAACAUAUUGGUUAUUUGCUACUGUAGAAUAACUUUUUAAGCGUGGUGUCUUGCAGGAAAAGAUAAAUCAUUUUUUAGAAGUCCCUGUUCUAUUGUAGAUUUCUUAACUAAAUGUAAUUGGAUAUGUUCAGUGAAAGGUCAUGAUCAUUAAUAAUCAUGAAUGUGUGUGCCUCUGCUGUUGAUUAUCUAAUUAAAAUGUAACAUGGAUGUAACAGUAGGAUCACACGUAACAAUUCAGGAAGAGCUAGCUUCUAGUGUUGGAGGUCAACAAAUUAACUUGAGGAAUUAUACAUUCCCUAGACCAAUAUAAGUAGUAUUCGCUGCAGAAAAUAAAUGUAGACAUAACAGAUUAUUGCUCUCAUUUUAAAUAAAAUCUUCCCAUGUAUAUUUAUCCAU